rfam:Myotis lucifugus cont2.20541, whole genome shotgun sequence.
GGCAGUUUUCGGGUGACACACCCUAGAAUCGGGCCCCCUCCUCCCUGGUUCAGGGUGUAUCACCUGAGAACUGCA